rnacentral:rRNA from 1 species
AACGAACGCUGGCGGCAGGCUUAACACAUGCAAGUCGAGCGCCCCGCAAGGGGAGCGGCAGAGGGGUGAGUAACGCGUGGGAAUCUACCCAUCUCUACGGAAUAACGCAUGGAAACGUGUGCUAAUACCGUAUACGUCCUUCGGGAGAAAGAUUUAUCGGAGAUGGAUGAGGCCGCGUUGGAUUAGCUAGUUGGUGGGGGAAAGGCCUACCAAGGCGACGAUCCAUAGCGGGUCUGCGAGGAUGAUCAGCCACACUGGGACUGGGACACGGCCCAGACUCCUACGGGGGGCAGCAGUGGGGAAUAUUGGACAAUGGGCGCAAGCCUGAUCCAGCCAUGCCGCGUGAGUGAUGAAGGCCCUAGGGUUGUAAAACUCUUUCACCGGUGAAGAUAAUGACGGUAACCGGAGAAGAAGCCCCGGCUAACUUCGUGCCAGCAGCCGCCGUAACAC